CUGACACCCAAAUCCCUCUUCAACCACGUCGCUCCAUUUCCCGAUUCCGGCGACCACCUUUACUCCGCCGCCAACCUCCUCCUUCAAAGCCGCCAGAAGCUCCGCCCUAUCAGGUCCAACGGAGGCCCACCUCCCUCCGGUUUCCAUCCCUGCUCCGAUUCAACUCAGCAUCCGGGUCACCCUCUAGAACCAUCGCUCCAGAUGCAGGUCGGGUCAUGCCCCGUUUCCCUCGGGGCAGGAAUCUGGAUGCACACAGUCUAGUUGACGUUGUUAAAAUGGAUUAGGACAAAGGGGUUGAGGAUAUGGGAUAAGAACUUUGGCUAUUUAAUAUCAGUGGCUGUUAACCCAAAGCAAUCUUGGGAUUCUCCCUGUCAUUCGUGUCAAAGUUUCUAAUUGAAGCCUGAUAUUCAAUUAUUUGGAUGAUGAAGUAAUAGAAUAUAACAAUUUUGAGGACGAGGAAUGAGGACUCUAGAAGAAAUUCAAUUGGAGCUUAACGCAUUACAAAGCACAAAGAACUUCCCCCACCACGGACAGUUUCAAAUUGUUUUAUAAUGCUCCUGAUGAAGAAGAUGGUCAGAGACAGAGAAAAAUGCCAAGGAGGGUUCAAGUCAAGUCGAACCUUGAUCAGAGAGAAAUAUUUCAAGUUCACUCACUUAAAAUCAUUAUUCAUGUGUAUGAAGACGAGGCUUCUGAUUCCAAGUUUGCAAAGCUUAGCACUCUUAGGUUUGGGUACUUGGUGAAGUUGAAUAUUAUAUGUAUUGUAAAAGAAGGAUUGUGUAUUGAUAUGAAGUUCAAAAAUGAUUUAGAGGAAAUUGUUUCUUGAAUUAUGAAGUCAUUUUUACAUUGUGUAUUGAUGUGUUAAUUUUG